AUUGAACGCUGGCGGCAUGCCUAACACAUGCAAGUCGAGCGAGCGGCGGACGGGUGAGUAAUGUUUGGGAAACUGCCUGUUGGCGGGGGAUAACUACUGGAAACGGUUGCUAAUACCGCAUUCCAUCAGAUUUGCCCAGAGGGGAUUAGCUAGUCGGUGGGGUAACGGCUCACCUAGGCGACGAUCCCUAGCUGGUUUGAGAGGUUGACCAGUCACACUGGAACUGAGAAACGGUCCAGACUCCUACGGGAGGCAGCAGUGGGGAAUAUUGCACAAUGGGCGCAAGCCUGAUGGAGCCAUGCCGCGUGAGUGAAGAAGGCCUGCGGGUUGUAAAGCACUUUCGGCGGGGAGGCGGUACCCGCAGAAGAAGCACCGGCUAACUCCGUGCCAGCCGCCGCGGUAAUAC
rnacentral:rRNA from 1 species